UUAUCUCUAUAUUAUUUAAAGUAAAAGGCCAAUUGAUAUUUCCAUAUACUAGUCUAUGACGGCAGAAGGUUGAAAAAGUUCCAUUCGAUAUAUUCCAUACAAAAGAUCAGAAGAUAUAUAUUGUUUUGUGGUUGGAGGCGGCUAUACUGAUUGGGCCGAAGCCCAUUUGUUUGGGUCGUGACAGAUAAAGACGAAUAAGAGGAGGCUGCCAUAAAAAAAAAGCAAUAUCAUCGAGCCGCACAUAAUUCACGUAGGAGGGCUCUAGUCGAGAUCAGAUUGGGGACGCACGAACAGGAAGGUGUUUAGCAAAGAUUCAAGGCUACGGAAUCAUCGGGAUCGAGCGGGAGGCUUGGAGAACAAGGAAUUACCGGGCUAGAUGGAGGCUUGGGAAAGAAGCGGGUCAAACAGAUUGAGUGCGCGGAAAAGAGCAUAACCGGAUGCAAGGUAAAAGUCAAGAGUUUCCGGAUGAAGAUCAAGCAACGUACGAGAGCCGAACACAUCAUAAAGGAGCUUCCACAUUAAUCUUGUUUUGUUUCGACAAUAUGAAUUAUGUAAACUCUUAACGGUUAUGUUUUGAAUGUUUUAAACAUAUGUGAACACUGUGAUGUAAAAGUUUUUGUCAAACGGCAUUUUUGCCAUGAAAUGCUAUUAUUAAUUGAU